UCGAGAAUUUUUCACAAUGGGCGAAAGCCUGAUGGAGCGACGCCGCGUGGGGGAUGAAUGGCUUCGGCCCGUAAACCCCUGUCAUUUGCGAACAAACCUCGUAAUUUAAAAGAUGACGAGCUGAUUGUAGCGAAAGAGGAAGGGACGGCUAACUCUGUGCCAGCAGCCGCGGUAAUACAGAGGUCCCAAGCGUUGUUCGGAUUCACUGGGCGUAAAGGGUGCGUAGGUGGUUAGGUAAGUCUAAUGUGAAAUCUCCGAGCUUAACUCGGAAACUGCAUCGGAUACUAUCUAGCUUGAGGGUUGGAGGGGGGACUGGAAUACUUGGUGUAGCAGUGAAAUGCGUAGAUAUCAAGUGGAACACCAGUGGCGAAGGCGAGUCCCUGGACAACUCCUGACACUGAGGCACGAAAGCUAGGGGAGCAAACAGGAUUAGAUACCCCAGUAGUCCCUGAGCGGGCUGGCAAGGCGCAU
rnacentral:rRNA from 1 species